GGCCACCGCGGUCUCCGGGGCUGCCCUCGGGCCUGGCUCGCCCGCGGGCGGAUGGCUCCGGGUCUCUGCUGCUGAGGAUGUGGCUGCCGGGCGGAGGUCGUCCACUCCCCUGGGCCUUUCUCCGCGAGCCCUCCCACGCCGCCCGCUCCUCUCCCGGGGCGAAGGGCGGGGACGAGGCGCGCCGAAGCCCCGAGCUGAAGAGAAGGGUGGGGGCAUGAGGGCGCUGGAGUGAGGAACAGAUUGGAGCCUUCCCACUUCCUCUCCAAUCUCAGCCCCCGGGAGGAGGGGUGAGGCCCUCGAGGGGGCCCGGAGUUAAGGAGGAAUAGACCGUUUCUCUCUCUCCUGUCUCCCCCGCCUCUGCCCGUCUUCCCUCUAAGCCGGCCUCUAGGUGCAGAGGCUGACGUCCAGGAUGGGGACCGGGGAAGCCUCUGGAGGGUAUAUCCGGGAAGGCACCAAGGCUGAAAAAGAUGCAGUCUAGCACCUCAGUUAAGAAUAUGGACUCUAAAGUCAGACUGCCAGGCUUCAAAUUCCAGUUCUGCGACCUCAGCAAAGUUACUUAACCAAGCUCUCAGUGCCUUGUUUUCUUCAUCUGUAAAAUGAGGAUGACGUCACAGCAUUGUUGAGAGAAUUAAUACAGGCUCCAGACUUGUGAAUGGAGAAGUGUUGAGGUGACCCCAGCUCCAGCCACCAGCUGACGACAACCAUACCGGAGAUCCUGAGAGCUGCCUAGCUGACCCCAGGCACCCCCCAGACUUAUUCAGCACUUAGAAGAAUGCCAGGCAGGCUUUCCCCACCAACCAAGAUGGAAUAACAGGGAAAAGACAUACCCUUCUAUCUUCAAUAAUUGGAAACCCAGACAAAGUUUAUGAAACGCUGGUUUUCAAGACAUAGGACAUCAGACAAUCAAGGACAGUAAACACUGAGAUGGGAAACAAACAAGGUGAGUACUGCAAUUGCCCAACAUUACUAGCUGGAAAGAGUUUCCCGACCAUGGCAGAGGGAGGAGGAUCCUUUGAGGUUCUGUGGUGUCCCUGAGUUGAGGAGACAAAGUUGAAAUUCCAGAGUGGUCAAGGCAGCUGGAGUUUGUAGAGCAGAGUACCAGAAAGAAAAUAGAUGCACAGAGAGAACCUCAGAGAUCUGCAAAAGAUCUCAGCUCUUCAGCUGUGCACCUAUCAGUACAUGCAUGUGACAAAGCACCCCAAGGCCAGGGGAAGAAUCACCUGAAAGUAUGAAGAGAAGAAUACUUGGAGCAUAUACAAACCAGGAAUAAUUUCAGUUCUCACCAGCCAAAUUGGAAGACCCCAUAGAUAACAGGCAUUAGGUAGAGCAGGGGUCCCCAACCUCCAGGGGCACUGACCAGUACUGUUCAUGGCCUGUUAGGAACUGGGCUGCACAGCAGGAGGUGAGCGGCAGGCUAGCCAGCAAACCUUCAUCUGUAUUUAUAGCUCCCAUCACUUGCAUUACUCCCCAUCACUCCCCAUCACUUGCAUUACCACCUGAGCUCCACCUCCUCUCAGAUCAGCAGCAGCAUUAGAUUCUCAUAGGAGUGUGAACCCUACUGUGAACUGCACAUGCAAGGGAUCUAGGUUGUGCACUGUUUAUGAGAAUCUAAUGCCUGAUGAUCUGAGGUGCAGCUGAGGCAGCAUAGCUAGGAGGUAGGUAUUUUGUUGCUGGGGACUCAUAUCAAAACCCUAUCAGUGAGUGGCAAGUGACAAUUAAGCUGCAUCUGGUGGCAGACUUUAUAGAGGCAAGUGAGUCAAUGUAUUUCAAUUGCACAGCUCUAUCUGGUGGCAAGUUUUAAGUCAGAAUCUGACACUUAAUUUAGUCUGUGCAUGGCCUGCCCAUUAUUUUAUUUACCACUUCUGUCUGUGCCUCUUUGCUGCACUGAACACUUGUCUCAGUCACAGUUUUGGUAAGCCCACAAGCUAACCCUAGCUAAAAUGAGUAAAAAGCAAACGACACUGGAGAGCUUCUUUGAAAAGUCAGAGAGACCCAAUGAUGAGACAGCAGAAGACUCUUAAGACUGCCAACAAAAAGAAAGCUGCACUUAAAAGAAAAUACCAGACUGGGCGUGGUGGCUCACACCUGUAAUCCUAGCACUUUGGGAGGCUGAAGCAGGUGGAUCCCUUGAGGCCAGGAGUUUGAGACCAGCCAAGCCAACAUGGUGAAA
rnacentral:lncRNA from 1 species